AUUGAACGCUAGCGGCAGGCCUAACACAUGCAAGUCGAGCGAGCGGCGGACGGGUGAGUAAUGUAUGGGGACUGCCCGAUAGAGGGGGAUAACUCAUGGCAACGGUAGCUAAUACCGCAUACUAUCUGAUACACCCUAUGGGUUUAGCUAGUAGUUGGGGUAAAGGCUCACCUAGGCGACGAUCCCUAGCUGGUCUGAGAGGAUGAUCAGCCACACUGGGACUGAGACACGGCCCAGACUCCUACGGAGGCAGCAGUGGGGAAUUUUGCACAAUGGGCGCAAGCCUGAUACAGCCAUGCCGCGUGUAUGAAGAAGGCCCUAGGGUUGUAAAGUACUUUCAGUCGGGAGGCGGUACCGACAGAAGAAGCACCGGCUAACUCCGUGCCAGCAGCCGCGGUAAUUC
rnacentral:rRNA from 1 species